rnacentral:lncRNA from 1 species
AGUGACCCUAAAUUGGCCUUUGUUGCUAAGCCCUUGUAGUUGAUAAGGUUGUGGAUGCUUGGUAGUGGUUAAGCAAAGCUUUUCCACCAUCGUCGUGCUGGCUAUGUUCGAGCAACUUUCACCAUCAAUAAUAACUCUACAAAGCUUACCUUGUACAUGGCAGCGAGUAUGAAAGAGAUGUUCUCGUUGCUGCUCGCUCUUUGGUUUUGCCAAAGAUGAUUGUCCACGAUCAUGAAAAUCAUCAUCCAUUCUAGGGACACGUUGAGGGCUGCACCUAUAGGGCUGGUUAUCCCUAUCUUCCUUAAUUGGAUAUCGUUAUUGAUGUUUUUGAUUCACUCGUACCUCAUUCAAAGUAGUAUUCAAUGCUUGAAGUGUGGCAUUUAUUUGUGUGAUUGCAGCAGUAUGUUCGUCUAACUGUUGUUGGACUUUCAUAAGUGCAUCAUUAUUAUCACCUUUAGACAUCUUCAAAACCUGAAAAAAAUAAACACUCAACACUCAAAAAUAAAAGUUAGUAAACCUCACCAUUAAUCACUCAAAAAGAAAAAUCAAAUUCUCAAUGAGGUCGAAUUCAAUCUUGUGAGUUCUUUA